ACACUGUGGUGUCCAUGUGUGCGCUGCCCUGGAAGCAGAAAUCAAUUACUCCCACUGCUAUUAGAGAGAUGAUUUGGUUGGGGAGGCUCGCUGUGAAUGCAGCCACUGUUCAUUACUGAGCUCUUUGUAUAUAUUAUAUCUCUUUUACUACAGGAAGACUGAGGCUUGGAAAGAGAGAGAAACUGUGUAACAGAACCAGAGCCUGGGACAUGCUGGGGGUUUGAACCAUCAUCCCCUUGGCUCCAGACCCUGGGCAUUUCAUCACUAGGUGAUCCUGUUUCUCCUGCAGGUGUUAGAUGUUGAUUCUGCCCAGGGUGCCUGUGUCAUAGAAGCUCCCAGAUUUUGAGCGACUGCAUCCUGAAUGGUAGUCCCCGCAGUCUCCUGCUCAGAGCCUUUGAACUGGUCGCUCAUUCCAGGGGAGAUCUUGAUAACAACUAUUCCUUGGAGAAGGUUCAUAGGAAACAAGGUGAAUAAACACCGCAGAAGCCCUCCCUGUCUAGCAGAGCUUUGGUCCUGAGGAUGUUUAUAAGUCAGUGUUGGUGUCUGGAUGGAAAAGACUUUGAAUUCAAAAGGGCAGUUGGGACAUUUUCAAUUUUUGUGUUAAUUCAAAAAAGUUCAUCCUAUGCCUUCCCUCAACCUUAGGGCACAGGCAAAAGAGAGAGAUUAUCUUUAUCCAGAAUGUAACUCCAAAUGGAGCUCUUUUUGUUUUCUUUCCUCCCUGCCUGGCUGGGGCUAGUUAUUGUAAU
rnacentral:lncRNA from 1 species